ACAGUCACCCAUUUUUAUUCUGGGAUACCCACUUUCGUAUCAAGCUGUAAUCCAAUAGUCCUUUUAACGACAUUCACGAGGAAGCUCCACCCACAGGCCAGAACCCACAUCAAAACUUGCGAUAGCUGCCUUUCUGGAGGGAAACCGAAAAUUCCGUCUUUGAGAGUGAGUGGCUCCUCUUCUCGAAUGAGGUCGGCGGCUCGUCUUCCUAAAUGGGCGUCAAAGCCUUUCAUUAUGGGGCAUUGAUGAAGCUGGACAAGGAACUGUUUUAGGUUGUCGUCGUCGUCUUUUUCAUUUCUAAGUUUUGUCUCAAAUGGGUUUCCUUUCAAUUUGUGAUAAGAUUCAAAGACGCUAAAAGAAGAAAAGAGGGAGGAAUUAUUUGAAAAUUUAAAGGCUGAUGAAUCAAUUGGUUGGGCUGUGGAUGUCAUAUAUCCGAAGGAGCUCUCAGCCAAAAUGUUAAAGAAGUUACUAAACGAUAUGAGAAUCUGUGAUUUGCUAUUUUUUGUAGUUUGCUGUUUCUACUUUCUACUGAUUUCCCCUGUUUGGUUGUUAGCAGGAAUAAGAUAAAUCUUAAUGAAAUUUCACACGACUCUGCAAUUGGCCUCAUCAAUAGAGUACCAAAUAUGAGAUUUCUCCUAACAGAGUGGGUGAUGCUGAGAAGUACAGAAUUGAACUGUCUGAAAGAUUUCCGGGUAUCAAAUUUGUGGUUGCAAAGGCUGAUAGUCUCUAUCCAGUUGUGAGUGGAGCAAGUAUAGUUGCAAAGGUCACAAGAGAUAGAGCCUUGCGGGAAUGGGUGUUUGACGAAACGGCAGAUAACUUGCACAGGAACUUCGGUUCCGGAUACCCUGGAGGUUAAAAUUGUUUUAUUCUCUUUUUGCAUGUUUGAAGUUCGUAAAUAUUGGAUGGUUGUUAUAUUAUAAUGCAUCUGGUUAUGUUUCAUUUGUGUAGAUCCUGACACCUAGGCCUGGUUGAAAGAUAACAAACACUUGGGUUUUUGGAUUCCCAUCGUUGGUCCGUUUUAGCUGGGGUAUGUGCACUCCCUACUUCAAGGACAUUGUUGAUCAAGUCCUAUGGGAAUCGAUGAAAUGGACGAAGUUGGUUCCAGUAGUCG